UUAGAGUUUGAUCCUGGCUCAGAACGAACGCUGCGGCAUGCCUAACACAUGCAAGUCGAACGAGACCUUCGGGUCUAGUGGCGCACGGGUGCGUAACGCGUGGGAAUCUGCCCUCAGGUACGGAAUAACUCAGGGAAACUUGAGCUAAUACCGUAUAAUGACUCCGGUCCAAAGAUUUAUCGCCUGAGGAUGAGCCCGCGUCGGAUUAGCUAGUUGGUGGGGUAAAGGCCUACCAAGGCGACGAUCCGUAGCUGGUCUGAGAGGAUGAUCAGCCACACUGGGACUGAGACACGGCCCAGACUCCUACGGGAGGCAGCAGUGGGGAAUAUUGGACAAUGGGCGAAAGCCUGAUCCAGCUAAUGCCGCGUGAGUGAUGAAGGCUUUAGGGUUGUAAAGCUCUUUUACCCGGGAUGAUAAUGACAGGACCGGGAGAAAAGCCCCGGCUG
rnacentral:rRNA from 1 species